rnacentral:rRNA from 1 species
UACGUAGGUGGCGAGCGUUAUCCGGAUUUACUGGGCGUAAAGCGCUUGUAGGCGGCUUCGUAAGUUGGGUGUGAAAGCUCCGGGCUUAACCCGGAGAGGCCGUCCAAUACUGCGGAGCCCGAGGGUGCCAGAGGAAGGUGGAAUUCCUGGUGUAGCGGUGAAAUGCGUAGAUAUCAGGAGGAACACCCGUGGUGAAGGCGGCUUUCUGGGGCAUUCCUGACGCUGAGAAGCGAAAGCUAGGGGAGCAAACAGG